UGUAAUACCCGGCUAGUUCAGACAUCGGAGUUCCUACCGUCCGGUGGAAUUUUGAAUGUCAGAGUUUCCCUGAAGGGUAGAGUGAAGGUUUUCUAAAAUGUUUUUAUCUGUUUUAAGUUUUUGAUUUGAAAAGGAAAUGAGUUUUUAAGAGAAAAGGCUAAGGAAGAUUUUCCCACUUUCGGCCCCCUAAAGUUAAAGUUCGGCUGCCGAAAGUACCCCACGUUCGGCCCCCUAAACUUAAGGUUCGGCCCCCUAAAGUGGUGAGGUGUUGCAUGGAGCUUUGGCCACCCAACGUGAAGCGGUGGUGCACUUUUAAAGGUGCUUUUGGCCGACUAAGGAGGUGCUUAGGCUCUCCUUUGGUUCAGGAACUUGCUCAUGCUUUCUCUCAAUGAUCUUCCAUAGUUUUACAUCAAAUCUUUCAAAGAAAAGUAGGUUUUAAGUGAGUUAAAGGGAGUUUUGAGAAGUUGUGGAGUUUAGGAGCUUGUGAAGCUUGAAUCUCCAUCUCUUCAAGUUAGGAGUCACGCCAGCCUUUGUUCUUCAAUAGGUAAGUGUGAAUCCUUGGUUUUAAUUAUGUUUUAAAUGAGUUUGAUGAGGGGAAAGGGGAGUUGUGCAUGUGUAUGCAUGAGUUGUGCAUAUUAGGGUGUAUGGAUCCUAUGCUUUGUUUGUGGUUGUGUGUGUUAUUUGUUGGAGUUUUAAUGUGUUUAAGACUCCUAUAUGCAUGAGUAAGUGUUUAGAGUAUGUUUGGAGAGGUUGGAUGCAUGUUUGGAGGGUUGAAGUUCGGAUGGCAGGCGUUCUUGUGCACGAAACUGAGUUCUGGAUGAACCCAGGUUCGGCCCCCGAAAGUCCAAGUUAGGCCGCCGAACAUGCCUGACUUUCGUCUCUGGAGGAAACAUUCGGCCGCCGAAGGUGCUGCCGAAGGUGCCCUGUCCAGCUUUCCUUUGCUUGUUUUGCAUGCAUGUUUUGAGGUGUUUUAAGGGGUCUUAAGGGGAGAUGUUUAGAGGUAUGUUAGCGUAUGUUGGUCCCUCACUUGAGUCCAUCUGUGUAGGCACAGAACAGAGGAACCAGAGAGAGCAGCAGUGAGUGUUGCUUCAGAGUUUGCAGAGUUAGCCCAGGGUUAGCCAAGCAUUGGCUAGAGGUGAGUAGAACUAAACUUCAUCUUUUAUUUAUGUAACAGCCCGGCCCCGUACGACCGGCCCUGUUACCGCUCACAGCCCGUUACACCUCCUGGGGGCGGCCACUGUGAGCAGCUCUUAACAUCCCUUCACCCUCACGGGUUCCGGGCAGGAUUUGUCCCUCGGGGGAGCCAGUACGGCCCGCCCUAGCCCGAGUGGAUUUGGCCCAAUUCCUNN
rnacentral:lncRNA from 1 species